GGGCGGGGCUAGACGGCCUGUAGUUAAGACUGGGCGUGGCCUCCGAGGAUAUCGCGGGUGGCGUCAGGGAUUUUGAAGCUCUUUUAUUGAGCAUGCACAUUCAGGAAUAAUAUAUCUUCUUGGUGAGGACACAGCGAGAAGAUGGCCGUCCAUGAAGAAACAGUACGUGUUCAGCCGACACCAAAUCUGUCAACACCUUGACCUCAGACUUCCUAGCCUUCAGAAC